rnacentral:rRNA from 1 species
AGUGAACGCUGGCGUUAGGCCUAACACAUGCAAGUCGAACGGCAGCACAGUAAGAGCUUGCUCUUACGGGUGGCGAGUGGCGGACGGGUGAGGAAUACAUCGGAAUCUACUUUUUCGUGGGGGAUAACGUAGGGAAACUUACGCUAAUACCGCAUACGACCUACGGGUGAAAGCAGGGGAUCUUCGGACCUUGCGCGAUUGAAUGAGCCGAUGUCGGAUUAGCUAGUUGGCGGGGUAAAGGCCCACCAAGGCGACGAUCCGUAGCUGGUCUGAGAGGAUGAUCCAGCAAACUGGAACUGGAGCACGGUCCCGACUCCUACGGGAGGCAACAGUGGGGGAUAUUGGGCAAUGGGCGCAAGCCUGACCCAGCCAUACCGCGUGGGUGAAGAAGGCCUUCGGGUUGUAAAGCCCUUUUGUUGGGAAAGAAAAGCAGCAGGUUAAUACCCCGCUGUUCUGACGGUACCCAAAGAAUAAGCACCGGCUAACUUCGUG